GGCAACACUGUAUCCUUAACCCACUGAAGGAGGCCAGGGAUCGAACCUGCUACCUCAUGGUUCCUGAUCAGAUUCGAACCAUGAGGUUGCGGGUUCGAUCCCUGCCCUUNNNNNNNNNNNNNNNNNNNNNNNNNNNNNNNNNNNNAAAAAAAAAAAAAAAAAAAAAAAAAAAAAGAAAUGAAACCAAUUUAUUUAUUUGUCUUUUGUGGACUGCACAAGCAGCACAUGGAGGUUCGCAGGCUAGGGGUGGAAUCAGAGCUACAGCUGCCAGCCUGUGCCACAGCCACGCAAGAUCUGAACUGCAUGUACAAUGCUGUAUCCUUAACCCACUGAGCCAGGCCAGGGAUCAAACCCAUGUCCUCAUGGAUACUAGCUGGGUUUGUUAGCCACUAAACCACAAUGGGAAUUCCAGAGACCACUUUAGUCAGAAUGAACCAAUAAUUAAUAUUUACUCAAUACAAGUCUGAAUGAAAUGUUAACACUAACAAAUACUUACUUUGGUCAGACUACAAGAGGAUUCUGUAUCAUCCUGUUGGGUAAUGAUUGUCCCACUAAUUACCAGAUUCAAUGUCAGGGACAAUAUGAGUAAGUACACCAAUUUUGCUGCUGUUUCAUUUGGUUUGGGUUACAGCGAACUUUCACUUACUGCCUCACUUAAAGAAUAAAUCAACUUAAGGCAUUUACGGCAACUGACUCAUGAUGUUAGUGGCUUACACAUAAGCCUCAGAAAAAUUAGUUGAGGGGAACCAGAUUAGCUAGGGAAGUAACAUCUAGGAACAGAAUGCAAAAGUAAUUUAUCAACUACACUGAAAAAUAUUCAGGCCACUUUAAACCAGUUCCAACACAGGUCAAGAGGACUGGCAAACCUCCACCCCUAGGGAGAAUCUGUGAUAGACCUACACAUGUGCAGACCCCCCCAAAUUAGUCUACAUAAUACUGCCUGAGGCAGCCUGUCCACAUUAAUCCCUGCUUAGAUAUUUAAAGCAUUCAUUUCUUAUCAAGACAACUGGUUUCCACCGGAGUUCCAAGAGCUUAA
rnacentral:lncRNA from 1 species